UACGGAGGGGGCAAGCGUUAAUCGGAAUUACCGGGCGUAAAGCGAGCGAAGGCGGUUAUUUAAGUCGGGUGUGAAAGCCCCGGGCUCAACCUGGGAAUUGCAUUCGAUACUGGAUAGCUAGAGUUCGGCAGAGGGAAGCGGAAUUUCCGGUGUAGCGGUGAAAUGCGUAGAUAUCGGGAGGAACAUCAGUGGCGAAAGCGGCUUCCUGGACCGGAACUGACGAUCAGGCUCGAAAGCGUGGGGAGCAAACAGG
rnacentral:rRNA from 1 species